rnacentral:rRNA from 1 species
GAUGAACGCUAGCGGCAGGCUUAAUACAUGCAAGUUGAGGGGCAGCAUGAUAUACGCGAGUAUAUUGAUGGCGACCGGCGGACGGGUGAGUAAUAGGUAGGAGACCUACCUCAUACAGGGGGAUAGCAUAGAGAAAUCUGUGGUAAUACCCCAUGAGGUUAUAUGAAUAGAGGCAUAUAAUCAAAGCAUAAGUGAUUAUGCGGUAUGAGAGGGGCCUACUGACCAUUAGCUAGUUGGUGAGGUAAGGGCUCACCAAGGCGAAGAUGGUUAGGGGUUUUGAGAGAGAGACCCCCCACAUUGGAACUGAGAGACGGUCCAGACUCCUACGGGAGGCAGCAGUAGGGAAUAUUGGGCAAUGGGCGAAAGCCUGACCCAGCCAUGCCGCGUGAAGGAAGACGGCCUUAGGGUUGUAAACUUCUUUACUACGCGAAUAGAGGUUAGUACGAGAUACUAAUAGGAAGGUAGUGUAGUAAAAAGCAACCGGCUAACUCCGUGCC